GAACGCACCUUGCGCCCUUUGGCUAUUCCGAAGGGCAUGCCUGUUUGAGUAUCAUGAACACCUCAACUCUCAUGGUUUGCCAUGAUGAGCUUGGACUUUGGGGGUUUUGCCGGCUCUCUGUCGGCUCCUCUCAAAUCGAUCAGCUUGCCGGUGUUCGGUGGCGGUCACGGGUGUGAUAACUAUCUACGCUUGUGGCGGUUCACCAGGUAACCUCCAGUGAUGGAGGUUUGCUGGAGCUUCCAAUCGUCUCUCUUCUGCAAAGACAGCCUUUUGACGUUUGAUCUCAAAUCAGGUAGGACUACCCGCUGAACUUAA
rnacentral:rRNA from 1 species